rnacentral:rRNA from 1 species
UACGUAGGGUCCGAGCGUUGUCCGGAAUUACUGGGCGUAAAGAGCUCGUAGGUGGUUUGUCGCGUUGUUCGUGAAAACUCACAGCCUCAACUGUGGGCGUGCGGGCGAUACGGGCAGACUUGAGUACUGCAGGGGAGACUGGAAUCCUGGUGUAGCGGUGGAAUGCGCAGAUAUCAGGAGGAACACCGGUGGCGAAGGCGGGCUCUGGGCAGUAACUGACGCUGAGGAGCGAAAGCGUGGGGGGAGCGAACAGG